rnacentral:rRNA from 1 species
UACGUAGGGCGCAAGCGUUGUCCGGAAUUAUUGGGCGUAAAGAGCUCGUAGGCGGCCUGUUGCGUCCGCUGUGAAAUCCCGGGGCUCAACCCCGGGCCUGCAGUGGAUACGGGCUGGCUAGAGGCAGGCAGGGGAGAACGGAAUUCCUGGUGUAGCGGUGAAAUUCGUAGAUAUCGGGAGGAACACCGGUGGCGAAGGCGGCCCGCUGGACAGCGCCUGACGCUGAGACGCGAAAGCGUGGGUAGCAAACAGG